GAGCUGGUCUGACAGCAGGCAGUUCUGCAGGGAUCAUGGAGCUGAUCUGGUCAUUAUUAACAAUGAAGUGAAGCAGAGAUUCGUAUCUUCAUUAGUCAAUGAGAGAGCAUGGAUUGGUCUGAAUGAUAUCAUGAUCGAGGGCACCAUGAAGUGGGUGGAUAAUUCACCACUAAUUCAAGGCUACUGGUUCAGCGGUGAGCCAAAUGAUUUAAAUGGAAAUGAAGACUGUAUUGAACUGUUGCCCACACGACCCGUCCUGAAUAACUGGAAUGAUAUGCCGUGCUCACAGUUGUCAAAAGGGAUUUGUGAAAAAUAGGGUUCAUCUCAUCUUUUAAUGUCAUUGUGUUACUCUUGUAUUGUUUAAAUACUUUAUAAUAGAGUUUCCUGUCUUUAAAACAGUUUGCCGGUUAUAUGCUUUCAUGGUAUCAUGUUUAUGUUGUAUACAUUUUCUGUAAAAUCCCACAUCAAAUUCAGAUGAAAAUCGAAUUAUUGAGCUGUCAUUGUUUUUUUCUAUGCUGUUAUGAAACUGGCACCCUUUUUACAGUCUGAUUUAUUAUUCUGUUUU